UGUUAAAAAUUUCAUCCAUUUUUACUGUUAGAGAUUGGUCCCUACAUGUUAGCAUAAGAUACAUGUGACAUGCCAAGCAUCACUAUUUGAUUACGCUAUUUUUUAACAAUAUAAAAUGAUGAUUUUUUUAACA
rfam:Gossypium hirsutum cultivar TM-1 chromosome 17, whole genome shotgun sequence